CCAGCAUUUGCGGUAAUUCCAGCUCCAAUAGCGUAUAUGUAAAUUGUUGCGGUUGAAAAGCUCGUAGUUGGACUUCUGGAGGCCGAGAUCGGUCCGCCAAGCGCGAGCACUGGUCUCGGUCUUCGUCUCUGUCGACGUGGCUCGCCCGGACUUGAUUGGCCGGCUUGCUAUCUGUCGGCGACGUUACUUUGAGGAAAUCAGAGUGCUCAAGGCAAGCGUUCGCUCGUGACUUCACUAGCAUGGAAUAACACAGAUGGGCUCUUUCUCGCACUGUUGGUCUGCGUCAAUUGAGCAACGAUCGAUAGAGACGGUCGGGGGCAUUCGUAUUGCGCAGUUAGAGGUGAAAUUCUCCGAUCUGCGCAAGACGCACUAAUGCGAAAGCAGUUGCCAAGGACGUCCUCUUAUGAUCAAGAGCGAAAGUCGGGGGAUCAAAGAUGAUUAGAUACCGUCGUAGUCCCGACCAUAAAUGAUGCCGACUGAGCUUCGGCGACUCGGCCCUGGGCCGGACGUCGGCGCUCUUAGAGAAAUUAAAGUCUUUGGGCUCCGGGGGUAGUAUGGUCGCAAGUCUGAAACUUGAAGGAAUUGACGGAAGGGCACCACAAGGCGUGGAUGUUGCGGCUUAAUUUGACUCAACACGGGAAAGCUUACUAGGUUUGGACACUUGAAUGAGGGACAUAUUGAAGCUCUUACCUUUUUUUGUGGAUGGUGGUGCAUGGUCGUUCUCAGCCCGUGGGUUGACCUGUCAGGUUUACUCCGGUAACGCGCGAGACCUCGGUUUGCUAAAUAGAGGCGGCUGUUUCGACACCCGCGCUCUUCUUAGAGAGAGACUCGACGAGAGUCGAGGGAAGUCGAGGCAAUAACAGAUCUGUGAUGCCCUUAGUUAUCCUAGGUCGCACGCGCCAUACAAUGUGGCGCACAACGAGUCUCCUAGGCCGACAGGAAAUCCCGCGUGUCGUCUCCGCGGCUGCCCCUCGGGUCGGCGCGGUGGCUCUCUGCGAGCGGCCCGCCGUCCGUCGUCGGCGGUCGCGCGAGGUCGCGCGGGAGGUUCUGGGCAAUCUGACAGAGCGCUACGUGACUGGGCUAGACUUUUGUAAUUGUUGGUCUUGAACGAGGAAUGCCUAGUAAUCGCAGGUCAUCAUCCUGAGAUGAUUCGGUCCCUGCCCUUUGUACACACCGCCCGUCGCUCCAUCCGUGGCAUGCGCCGGUGAAGAGGGGGAAGCAGCGUCGUCCG
rnacentral:rRNA from 1 species